GAGAGAGACAUGCGCGCAAUAUCAAUAAGCGGAGGAAAAGAAACUAACAAGGAUUCCCUUAGUAACGGCGAGUGAAGCGGGAAGAGCUCAAAUUUGAAAUCUUCAAGGUUUUACCUUGACGAAUUGUAGUUUAAAGAAGUGUUUUCUGCUGAAGUUUUGGUAAAAGUUCCUUGGAAUAGGACAUCAUAGAGGGUGAGAAUCCCGUAUUUGACCAUUAUUUUCAGCUUUGUGAUACACUUUCAAAGAGUCGGAUUGUUUGGGAAUGCAGUCCAAAAUGGGUGGUAAAUUUCAUCUAAAGCUAAAUAUUGGCGAGAGACCGAUAGCGAACAAGUACCGUGAGGGAAAGAUGAAAAGAACUUUGAAAAGAGAGUUAAACAGUACGUGAAAUUGUCAAAAGGGAGCGUUUGACACCAGUGUUGUUUUCUCGAAAAUCAAUUAAAAAUGGCUCGAUUUUGUAUUGUUGAGACCUUAAAAGCUCACUGUACAUUUUUCGUGUCUUUUUUAAUGCACUUUUCGUUUAACAAGUCAACAUCAGUUUCUUUUGUUGUAAAAGGGUCAUUGGAAGGUGGCUUUCUUUUCGGAGAAAGUGUUUAUAGCCUUUGGCCUCUGCAAUCGGAGAGACUGAGGUCUGCAGCGUAGACUCUUCGGGGUUAGAUACAUUUGUGCUAAGUUAUAGCUUUUUAUAGACAACUUGUUGACUAUAAUUAGUCUUGUAGCUUACUCGCUUAUGCUAUUUUACCUACGCUUAGGAUGUUGAAGAUGUAGCACAUCAU
rnacentral:rRNA from 1 species